UAGGUUAAUCCCCAGGGCCAGCAUAUUUGAAAACAUAAUCUCUAUGGCUCUGCAUGUAUAGGUGUUUAAUUGUGACUGAGAAGCUGAAGUGAAGGGCAUCUCAUAUCUAUUGACAUAAAUUUAAAUCAUCACCAUUAAUGAUAUAGAUCAUGAGGAUAAAGUAUAAUUCUUGUGGUAUUCAGUUUCCUUUGUUUCGUAAAUAGUGAAAUUGAGGCGUAGGGUUUGAUAUCUAUGCAAACUGAAGCACUCAUGAGGCAGACUAGAACUGGGCAGCAGGGCCUACGGAAUGCAGCCUGCUUUCUUGUUGUGACUACUGUGCCUGGUCAGUACUUAUGACUUCCACAGGGCAAACAGGGGGAGCUAUUAUUAACCUUAAUGUAAUGGUCAGACUGCAUGGAGUCAGUGACUCCUCCACAUGGCCAGACCACACACAUCCACUCACCUUUCUCUGUGGUGUCUUCAGCUUACAGAGGAAAUCGGGAAACUUGAAGAUAAAGUGGAGUGUGCUAAUAAUGCCCUGAAAGCAGACUGGGAAAGGUGGAGGCAGAACAUGCAGAAUGACCUCAGGUCAGCAUUUACAGACACGGCCGAGGAGAACAUCCGCUACUAUGAGCAGUGCCUUGCUACAUGGGAAUCAUUCCUCACAUCACAGACUGACCUCCCGUUGGAAGAAGAUCCCGAAGAUAAACUUUGAUCCUAUGGAAGACUCCUGUUUGAUCUUUGAGAGAUAGCGUCUAUCAACCAAAGUUAUUUUUUUCUGGAUUGGCUGUGCCCUUUAUAAAGAGGAUGAAAAAUGAUUUUGCACUGUCUGGAAAACCAACCAUAUAAAAACUCAGGUAUUCCAGGUCAUCAACAUGAAUUUGUGAUAUAAGUAUAUCUAUCUAGAUAUAUAGGUCUAUUAUGUGAUAUAUUCUACAGAUCUACAGAUCUGUUAUAUAGAUAGAUAUUUAUCUAUGUCUAUGUGGAUAGAAAGAUAUUUAGUGUAAUUGUAAUUAUGUUGUUAAAUUUAUGUGCCAUUAAUUACAUAUAGAGGUUUUUUUUCUUAAUAUUUUACAGUGGAAUAUUAAAUUUUUCAAUAUGUUGCAAAGACUUGGUUUUAAUAAAAUCUUUAAUAAGAAUUGGUUGUCUAUGAUGUGUUCAUUUUCUAUCAGAGAUAAAUCUUCUGAAAAAGUUAUAAUGUUAAUUAUGUGUUAUCUAGCAUAUUAUGCAUGUACUUUAAUGUCGUCAUAAUUUACUUUGACAUUAAGAAUUUGAAGUAAAUGUAAAAAAUUAUUAAACAUGAAUAACAAUUGUUUAAAAUUUUAUUAAAUAAAAUGGUGGUUUUCAACAAUGUAAAAUUUUUCCAAUCACAUUAAUAUAUUCUCUUUUUUGUAAAUUUUUGCAUAUCUUUACAACUUAUAUCUGGCUUCUAUUUUUAAUGCAUAAAGGACCUUGAGUCUACCUUACAAAGCUGUGCUGUGAGUGCUUGUGGUUCACAGUGAUGAAGAAUGUUCACGUGUGGAUCUGUGUUUCACCCCACCACUGGGGUGUCAGAAUACCACUCAGGGAAGCUAGGCUAUGUUCCUUCUUUGUCACUAUCCGGGUGUUGGGCUCAAGGGGCACACCAACCCACCACUCAAGGAAGGCAAAAAGCAGCCUAAGAUUGAGCCCCAGCCUGUGGUUCUCCGGGUGAGAAACAGACUGUGUUUCUCAAACUCCUGGGCACCCAGAUGCUGCUGGAAAACUCAUGGAGUUGAGAACAGGGCCCGAAGACCAGAGAUGAGCCCAGCCCAAGGUGGGAGAAACCUAUCUUAGCUCAUGGUGUCAGGAACUCUGAGGGGCCUUCUGCAGGAGACCGAGUAGCCCCGCUCAGUAAUGAAGGCUUAAUAUCCCCACGGUGGUCCUUGCAAGGGAGACAGGCCUUGCUUGCCCAAACUGUUUAUUCAUGGUGGAAGGGGUCCAUACAACUCCUCAGGGUGGACAAGAGAUGAAAUACCUUUUGCUGGAAGGAAUAUCCAGGAAGGGAAACUUAUUGGCUAAACCCUUGGGCCAGCCCAUCUAGAUUCCUCAUUAGCAUGGAGAAUUCUAGGCUCUAUGAUUUGUGACCAGUUGUCAUGGUCCUCUUAGUGGGGUGUAAUGGUAGGUAAUGUGCUCCAGGACAGGAAUGUGGUUGGGAGCAGAUUCAAACCCCUACCAUUCUCAGUUAUUAGAAUCAUUGGGGUUCCUUAAUCUGCGUGACCUCACUGGUCUUCCUGUCUGGUGACGCGGCUCCGCUUGCCCCAUAUUCAUGUGUAUUUUGCAGUUAGCACAGGCCAUCUUUCAGAAACCAGUUGCCAAAGGGCAUGUUUUCUUUUACUUUCCUCAAAGCAAUUAGUUUUACAGAAAGCAAACCAUGCUUUGAGGGGAUCUUCUAGUAGCUAUUACAUGGAAUGAAUGAAAAUCAUAAUAUACUUUAUAAACAGCUAUUUUAAACAUUUCCAAUACAUAUAAUCGCUUAGAGCAGGAAGUUCAGUUCUACCUAAGGAGUCCUCUGCCUACUUUCAUUUCAGCUCCCUGCCAGUAAACUAAAUCAUUUUACUGACUGAUCAGUCAAAGCAGAUUUGAGAUGGGGUCUUGCUGUUAUCGUGGCUGACCUGGGACUUGGUUUUAUAGGUUAGGGCAUCUGAAUUCGGGUAAAUCCACCCAUGUCUGCCUCCCAAGGACUGGAUUACAACAGUUGGAUGCCCGUCUUCCAUUCACAGAGCCCCAAUUCAACCAUUAGCAUCACAUAAACUUGUGAGGUGGCAAAAGUUAUCCCAGUGCCCAGGCAGGAGAAUUAAGGCUUUCUGCAAAGGUAACCAGUGCUGGCUACACAGCAAGUUUGAAACUAGCCUUUGCUACAUAAAAUUAGAUAUGUAAUAUAUAAUUAAAAUAUGAAUAAUUAUUUGAAUAAAAGUGCAUAUGUACAAAGUCUAUGUAUAUGUAUACAUGAUAUCCAGAUGAGUAUAUAUGAUGUAUAUAUGUACAAAUUUAUUUGUGGGAAUGAAGUUGCUUGGCAGGCCAGGGCAUAAUGGGGAGACAAGGCCAAGGGAGAUAACUGGGAGGUUUAACUUGGAAGCACUGCUUGGUCUCUUCUGUUCACAGAUAAAGAAUCCCAUGUCAAUGGCUUAUA
rnacentral:sRNA from 1 species